rnacentral:rRNA from 1 species
UACGGAGGAUGCGAGCGUUAUCCGGAUUUAUUGGGUUUAAAGGGUGCGUAGGCGGGCAUUUAAGCCGGCGGUCAAAUGUCGGGGCUCAACCCCGGCCUGCCGUCGGAACUGGGUGCCUUGAGUGCGCGAAGGGUAGGCGGAAUUCGUGGUGUAGCGGUGAAAUGCUUAGAUAUCACGAAGAACUCCGAUUGCGAAGGCAGCCUGCUGGACUGUAACUGACGCUGAUGCUCGAAAGCGUGGGGAGCAAACAGG